GAAGCCCCGGUAAACGGCGGCCGUAACUAUAACGGUCCUAAGGUAGCGAAAUUCCUUGUCGGGUAAGUUCCGACCUGCACGAAUGGCGUAAUGAUGGCCAGGCUGUCUCCACCCGAGACUCAGUGAAAUUGAAAUGGCUGUGAAGAUGCAGUGUACCCGCGGCAAGACGGAAAGACCCCGUGAACCUUUACUAUAGCCUGACACUGAGCAUAAGACGUUGAUGUGUAGGAUAGGUGGGAGGCUAAGAGUUGUGAACGCCAGUUUGCGAGGAGCCAUUGUUGAAAUACCACCCUUGAACGUUUGAUGUUCUAACCUCGUUCCGUAAGCCGGGACAGGGACAGUGUCUGGUGGGUAGUUUGACUGGGGCGGUCUCCUCCUAAAGAGUAACGGAGGAGCACGAAGGUCAGCUAAUCACGGUUGGAAAUCGUGAGGUUAGUGCAAAGGCAAAAGCUGGCCUGACUGCGAGAGCGACGGUUCAAGCAGGUGCGAAAGCAGGUCUUAGUGAUCCGGUGGUUCUGAAUGGAAGGGCCAUCGCUCAACGGAUAAAAGGUACUCCGGGGAUAACAGGCUGAUACCGCCCAAGAGUCCCUAUCGACGGCGGUGUUUGGCACCUCGAUGUCGGCUCAUCACAUCCUGGGGCUGAAGCAGGUCCCAAGGGUAUGGCUGUUCGCCAUUUAAAGUGGUACGCGAGCUGGGUUUAGAACGUCGUGAGACAGUUCGGUCCCUAUCUGCCGUGGGCGUUGGAAGAUUGAGGGGGUCUGCUUUUAGUACGAGAGGACCGAAGUGGACGCAUCACUGGUGAGCGGAUUGUCGUGCCAACGGCACAGUCCGGUAGCUAAAUGCGGGAGAGAUAACCGCUGAAAGCAUCUAAGCGGGAAGCUUGCCCCGAGAUGAGUCUUCCCGGCACAUAAGUGUCCUGA
rnacentral:rRNA from 1 species